rnacentral:lncRNA from 1 species
CGCGUAUUGCCAAAGUUCUCGGCAUUUUUGUUGUUUCGCUGUAUUUUCCGCUUUAAAAGAGUAAUAUUGAAGCAUAAACUAGUCUAAUUGUUUUAAAAACAUGCCUAAGCCACGACAAAGUAUUCAAGGUAAAUGUUUUUCGUCUUUGUUUUGUAUUUUUUUACAUUUGUAGCUACGAAAUUGGCGUCGCCAAUUUUAACGAAAUUUGGGAUGCAUUUUUCACUGUUUAG